GCACAAGCGGUGGAGCAUGUGGUUAAUUCGAAGCAACGCGAAGAACCUUACCAGGUCUUGACAUCCCGAUGCUAUUUCUAGAGAUAGAAAGUUACUUCGGUACAUCGGUGACAGGUGGUGCAUGGUUGUCGUCAGCUCGUGUCGUGAGAUGUUGGGUUAAGUCCCGCAACGAGCGCAACCCUUGUCUUUAAUUGCCAUCAUUUAGUUGGGCACUUUAAAGAGACUGCCGGUGUUAAGCCGGAGGAAGGUGGGGAUGACGUCAAGUCCUCAUGGCCUUUAUGCCCAGGGCUACACACGUGCUACAAUGGGCGGUACAAAGAGAAGCAACCUCGCGAGGGUGAGCAAAUCUCUUAAAGCGUCUCUCAGUUCGGAUUGUUCUCUGCAACUCGAGAACAUGAAGCUGGAAUCACUAGUAAUCGUAGAUCAGCUAUGCUACGGUGAAUACGUUCCCGGGUCUU
rnacentral:rRNA from 1 species